rnacentral:rRNA from 1 species
UACAGAGGUCCCAAGCGUUGUUCGGAUUCAUUGGGCGUAAAGGGUGCGUAGGUGGCGCCGUAAGUCAGGUGUGAAAUCUCGGGGCUUAACUCCGAAACUGCAUUUGAUACUGCGGUGCUUGAGGACUGGAGAGGAGACUGGAAUUCAUGGUGUAGCAGUGAAAUGCGUAGAGAUCAUGAGGAAGACCAGUGGCGAAGGCGGGUCUCUGGACAGUUCCUGACACUGAGACACGAAGGCCGGGGGAGCAAACGGG